GUGUUUCAGCAAAAGCAGAACAUUCCAUGGAGCCUCACAGAGGGCUUUUGCCGUGGGACAGGGUGGACUAACCAGCUGUCAGCUCGUACUGUAAGCAAAGCUUACAAACUGGCAAGACUCUAAAAAUAGGAAGGGGAACAGAGCCCUUCUGCUUCAGGGCAGCGGAACACAGUCCCAAGACUUCUGCUAUUCAUCCCUUCUGCAACGUGUCACAACACGACGACCCCCACAGCACUGUUUGGUCAGAUUUUGUGACAAGUGAUAGAAUCAUAGAAUAACCCAAGUUGGAAGGGACUCACAAAAACCAAGUCAGUCAUCUUAUGGAAACCGUCCUCAGCGGCUCGCAUCAAGAACACUCCUGCAUCCUUCAGAAAGCUGCUCCACACUCCCACCUAUCUAUCCCUUGGGGUUUUGGCUGCACGGAGAUGCAAACAGGAUAUCCAUCAACAACUCUCACCCAACCUCAGCAUUCCCACUGAGGCACUGCAGCCAGCAGGUACUAACAGAGAUACUGAAGGAGCUGUUACCAUACUGGCUUCAAAAAUUGCCCAAAGAGCCCCCAAAUAAAUGGGACAGCUUACAGCAGCUAUUGUAGUCCUCACUUUCAUAGGUCUUUAAUCAGAAGAAGGCAAUGACAGGUGAGUUACUCUGCUCCAAGGGUGGGGAAUUUGCAAGGAGGACAAACCUCUCACAAAACAUCCCUGCCCUUUGAAGGGUGCCAUUCUUCUGGGAGCUCUGGGCAGGCUCACAGCUACUCCAAUAUUUGGUAAUUUUGAGACAGAAGACUUUUCUGUCAUGGUUUUUAAACUCUUUCCCUGAGCUUAAAGAAAUAACCUUGACAUAGAUGGAAAUCAAAAAGAAGAUGCAUUUGCCAUCAGAAGUCCUUCAUCAGAGCAUAAAUAUUUGCUUAUGACAGCAGAAUGCUUUGAGUAUUUGCCAACCACGAGAGCCAGGCAGCGUCAUCCCUAAGGUGCCCAUCGGCACCAAACCUGGGAGAUGGAGAUGUCAAUGAAGGGAGACAGGAUGGGGAGCAAAUCUCCUUGAACUUUCACAGUAAUUGCAGGGCAAUAACUGCUGCCUCCAACCACUCAGACCCUGUUGGACUUGAGCAAAGAGCAGAGCAGAGCCAGUGCCAAGAGAGCCAACUUCACAGGAAUUUUACCAUCACGUUUCUGCCAGAACAUCAUCUGCCAGGCAGUGCGUUUGCCUGAAGGCAUCAACCCAGCACUGCUGUUUUCUCUCCUCUGCACGUGUCCACUGCAUGUCAGUAUGCAGGAGCUGUUCACACCCAGCCCAACUGCCUGUGCUCAGAGCCAGACCCUACAACGUCCUGCUAUCUCUGGCAAAAGGGGGGGCAAACAUAAUUAAAAGAUGAGGCUUACUUUCCAGGGGAGUCAAUCUGCUGACAACACACGCAGUUAAGAACAGCAGCAGCGAGCCAUGGGAAAGCUGCCAUUAGGCUGGGAGCUGCAGUGCCUGGGGUAAGGAGUCUCAUUAGGAGGCACCCCACAGCACAGCCUGUCCAUGAGUGACAUGGGCAGCUCUUUCACUUCGCAGUUUGGGAAGGAACUGUAGUAUAACAAGGGUAAGUCAACACCACACGUAGCCUCGAGCUACAACUGGGGCCUCAAGGUGAGACGUAAUUUAGCAAACAAGUUAUUUACCUGCAAACAAGCCACAUACAGAUACUGCUUUAUGAGCUGUGUAGUGGCUUCUGGACAGGUAAGCAAGAUGUAGACAUGGCAGUCUGAACAUCUACCAACAGCAAAAGUGGAUCCUGGAUAAAACAGGCAGCUCUGCAACUAGGAGGCAAGCAAGACCCCAUCCUGGCUGCACAAAGGCAGUACUGGGACACAUCCUGCCAGCUUUCUUCCUUUUCCACAGCGACUGUUAGACCACCUCUGAAGAGCCUCAGCCACACACACCCCCAGACAGGAACAGAGGGGCAGGCAGACCUGUGAACUUACCGGAUUAGGCCCUGAUAACUUGCUCUGGGAACCGUCCAGUCCUUUCUCCAUUGGCAUGAUUGUUUGCUGAAGCAGAUGUUUCAGAAAGUAUUGGAACGCUUGGAUAUUAAAGCUCCAUCUGCACUUCGUUCAGCAGAAGCACCUGACUGCCCAAAUGCCCACGGUGCCCUCUUGAACUUCAGUGGGUUUGCAUUUCUGUGCAGGUCAGAAGCACGGUUGUGCCAGCCAAGACUUGCCUUCUGCCACCUCAUGCCACUCUGCAUCCAAUUCUGUGGCUCUCUGAAGGUUUACAUGGAUGAGAGUUUUUAUCCUCUCCUUCCAGCCACCCCAUCUUCAUCUUUUGCCUGGUUGCCUUCCAGCUCUUUUUGUUUAACGAGCUCUGCUCUCUGCAGCCCUUUUUUCCCUUCUCCUCACCAGGCUCCACUCCUCCAGUCCGUAGCAGGCAGACAACACACGCCCACACCUACAGCUCUUUCCAUCUUGAGAUCUUCAAAACCACUCUGUGAACUUCUAAGACCCCCAGAAGAGCUGGUAGAAGCCAACACACGGCUCCUGCCCUUCAUUGUAACACCAAGGCCACGUCUGUGUGUUGGAGCAGCUGAGCAGAGGAACUCCAAGGGGCAAAGUCACAGCAGUAUUUAGGACAGAUUAACUAAAAGACAACCCUUGAAGUGCAAGCUAACAUUUUUUCAAAGGCUUGUAAUGUAGUCACAAGGCAGAGCGUUGUCAGCAAGUCCCCCUGGCAGAGCAGCCAAAGUACUGCAAGGAGCCAUCCAUCACUGCUAACACUGCAGAACAAACAAGCUUCCCCCUGCUUGCUCUCUGCAGCAUCUGGACUCAUUUCCUCGCCAGCCCUGCAGCAGGCCUCUAGCAGAGAACAUCUCUGGAUCAAGAAGUUAAAUUUGGGGUACAAUUCUAAGCCACAGAGAAGCAAAUACCUCAGAUGGGAAGCAUUGUGCAACCCUAGAAACAGACACAGUUGCUCAACCAGUUGUAAAAAUAGCCACAGGCCUGCACCACUGCUUGCACUGCAGCUCAGCUCCUCCCAGCCCUGUGAGAUGGAUGGAGUUUUCAGCCAAGAAAAGCUCUGUCACUCCUUGGAGUGCAUGCAAUUUACAUAGCACUGCUCAGCUGAAAGCCUGCCCCUUUUUUUCCAUAAAAAUCUGAACUUCCUCUGUUUGCACAAGGCCUGGGAAAGCCGCAGCUCUCACCAGCAUUAGUCCCACAUGCAUUACAGCAUGGCCUCACAUGGAGGAAAUUCAGUUUGUAUUUUCAUGAUUAGAUAAUGUCUGUAAUCCCGCAUAGCUGAAGAGCCACAGCCCAUAAGGUCAACAGCAUGUACGGAAAGCAAGACCCACACGCUUGGAUCUUAUCACAGUUCACAGCAAUCGGCCAGUGGGAAUCAAACCUAAUAAAGCAGAGUGGUGAACAGGUUGCUCAAACUGAUAAAAGGAUCGGAAAGGUUUUGUAUGCUAUGCACACAACAGAGAUAUGAAGAGACAUUCAUCUACACAGACACAAGAGAUUUGUCCUCCAGCACAACCUUUAAGGUACACACAACGCAAGAAGCCUGAAGAAAGAUCUUGGAACAGUUUCUCAUCCAUAUUCCCCAUGGCACUGAGAGGCCCAGCACAACACGCUUCAACAACACCUUGGUAAAGAAACAAAGCUUUAUUUUGUAGAAGUUGGAGAAAAUACUUAAAAAAAAAAAAAAAACACAAGCAAGGAGUUGUCAAUAGGUUCAAACAGCACCUGCAAACAGCAAACAACAAACCGACCCCCCCAGCUCUGAUCCAGCACCCACAUGCCAAGAGCAGAGCACAGCCCCGCGCAGCGCAGCCACCAGAUGCAUCCUCCCUGCUGUGGGCUGGGACACCCCGAGUUCAGACAUCCCCAGCAGGCAGAAAGCAUGCAGCCACCACAAGCCCUGGGAACAACCCGUGACCACUGAGAAGGAGGAGUAAAGCAC